rnacentral:lncRNA from 1 species
CGCUCCACUGGGCCUGCCAGUGAUAUCCUGUAGGACACACCAUUUGUGGACGCUUCCAGAGAUGCAGGCUGCAUGGGAACUUUAGCACAAACGCUGUAGCCAAUAACCUGACACCCUGAAAAUCUGUCCAGUGUUCAGAACAGAGCUAUCCAGUUCCAAAGAGUCAACAGGAUUUAUUGCCAAAGAUUCCUCUGCAGAAGUUAGAGGACAUAUCAUUCUCAUGUUUUGCCUUCCUUGGUGAGAGAUUUAAAUAAACACAUAGCUUCAUUCCCAAGCUCACUAGCUGGGGAUUCUUUGAAACUUCAGUUGCACAUCACUCAGAGCAAUGUGACCUCCAGGAAAACUCAGGCUUGGAACUCUUCGAGGAGGGAGCAUCCCCACUUUGACCAUUGUUUUCCUGGCUAGUUUACUGGAAGCCCUUCCUGUGUGUAUCUUUCCUCCAGCCAAAUAAAGACAGAAGUCCC